rnacentral:rRNA from 1 species
CCUACGGGUGGCAGCAGUAGGGAAUAUUGCUCAAUGGGGGAAACCCUGAAGCAGCAACGCCGCGUGGAGGAUGAAGGUUUUCGGAUUGUAAACUCCUUUUGUUAGAGAAGAUAAUGACGGUAUCUAACGAAUCAGCACCGGCUAACUCCGUGCCAGCAGCCGCGGUCAUACGGAGGGUGCAAGCGUUACUCGGAAUCACUGGGCGUAAAGGGCGCGUAGGCGGGAUAGCAAGUCAGGUGUGAAAUCCUAUGGCUCAACCAUAGAACUGCAUUUGAAACUGUUAUUCUAGAGUAUGGGAGAGGUAGGUGGAAUUCUUGGUGUAGGGGUGAAAUCCGUAGAGAUCAAGAGGAAUACUCAUUGCGAAGGCGACCUGCUAGAACAUAACUGACGCUGAUGCGCGAAAGCGUGGGGAGCAAACAGGAUUAGAUACCCCUGUAGUC